ACUCACAGAAGCUAUGGGCCCCAAGGGAAGGAGGCGUGGGGACUGUGUGCCCAGGGAGAUUAGGAAGUGAGAACAGAUAACUCGCCCACUUGUGACCGAUGAGUGAGCGACGCCCAGUCCACUCGGGCACACAGUGGCUCUCUGAGGAACGUUUCAUGGAGGUGCCCUUGUCUCCGUACAGAAGAUUCUAGAAGGCUUUGGGUGUGUGUCUGUCAGUGGCAGAGCCGCUUCAGACGCUGGUGACUGUUUUGGGCUGGGCACUGUCGUCGAAGGUAUGUUCAGCUAUGACAGCCCAAGGACAGCUACUGAGGACAUUUGCCUGCUUUUGAAGCUGCACACCGUUUCUGAAUUCUCCGCAGCGCUGAGGCUUAUCUCCGGGCGCCACACCGUCUUAUCUGAAGUUUUCUUCCUUUCGUCUUCCUGAGAAGAUUUAUAACCCAGAAAAGCCACGCCAUGAUUUCUGCUUCCAAAAUUGUAUUCUGGUUGUUUUAUUUUGCUCCCUGUCCUCCGUUGGCUUCGAGGAUGCUGUUGAGCAAUCUACAAAUUCCCAGAGUGUCUGUGACUUUGUAGGCACCGUUGGCCGUUAUCUUUGCUGUGUCUUUUAUAGAAUGUUCAUAAAUUCCAGGUUAU
ensembl:antisense 4930455G09Rik RIKEN cDNA 4930455G09 gene